GAACAAGUUACACAGACGGAUGCUGUUCAAACAAUUUUCCUGAACAGCGAGCUCUACAAGGCGACAACGACAACAGUCACAAGAAAUUAAUAGUUGAACUUGGACGGCAAUCAGAUUGAUAGUAACCGUAGCUUUACAAUGCAUCACAAUCUAUCACCUCAACGAAACGGAAGUCAAUGCACAUGUAGUCAGGCUUGACUCUAUAGUUCCAGGAAUUUUGUCAGCAUGCAAACAAUUUAUUAUACGGUCAACAGAAUUACAAAAGAAAUGUUUUGCUUGAAUGUAUUACCAAGUGUCAUUGUUAUAGAAGUAAAUCCAAAGUUAUAAGAAUGACGCAUCUUUGCCAUGUUCUGCCAGGUUUUUACAUUCUCUGUGUUUGUGUCUUGAGAUAUGGUAAAAGUAUAUAUGAUGUGUAUGUUGAUGAAAUAAAAGGUAUAGGCAAUUG